AGGGGUAUAGCCAAGUUGGUAAGGCAACGGACUUUGAUUCCGUCAUGCACUGGUUCGAGCCCAGUUACCCCCG
rnacentral:tRNA from 1 species